rnacentral:lncRNA from 1 species
CCUCCUAUCUUUCUAUCUCUGCAUCAUGCCUCCUACCAAAAAGAAGAAGACUGUAGCCAUCUCCUUUAUGCAUUUGGGCUCAAAGUUCUUAAAAUUGUACUUUCACAAAUGAUUUAAGAAGAAGUGUGAGUCUAAUUUGGCCAUCCUAAUGUAACACAAACGAAAAAACCCAAAGGAGCUCCAAGAACUCCAGAGCACAGAACCACCAUACCACCCCCAAAUAACUAUAGACUCGGUAGAUAGUGUCUAAUCCACAAUAUCACCAAGAUAAGUUAUCAAUAGAGCAUGUAG